rnacentral:rRNA from 1 species
AGGGAAUAUUGGACAAUGGGGGCAACCCUGAUCCAGCAAUGCCGCGUGAGUGAUGAAGGCCUUAGGGUUGUAAAGCUCUUUUACCCGGGAUGAUAAUGACAGUACCGGGAGAAUAAGCCCCGGCUAACUCCGUGCCAGCAGCCGCGGUAAUACGGAGGGGGCUAGCGUUGUUCGGAAUUACUGGGCGUAAAGCGUACGUAGGCGGCUUUGUAAGUUAGAGGUGAAAGCCCAGAGCUCAACUCUGGAAUUGCCUUUAAGACUGCAUCGCUUGAAUCGUGGAGAGGUUAGUGGAAUUCCGAGUGUAGAGGUGAAAUUCGUAGAUAUUCGGAAGAACACCAGUGGCGAAGGCGACUAACUGGACAGGUAUUGACGCUGAGGUGCGAAAGCGUGGGGAGCAAA